GUCGACGAGUUCUCGUUGAUGAUCGGUGCUUGCACCGAGAUUCAACAUGGAACGAGUGGCGGACGGGUGAGUAACACGUGGGUAACCUGCCCUUAAGUGGGGGAUAACAUUUGGAAACAGAUGCUAAUACCGCAUAGAUCCAAGAACCGCAUGGUUCUUGGCUGAAAGAUGGCGUAAGCUAUCGCUUUUGGAUGGACCCGCGGCGUAUUAGCUAGUUGGUGAGGUAACGGCUCACCAAGGCGAUGAUACGUAGCCGAACUGAGAGGUUGAUCGGCCACAUUGGGACUGAGACACGGCCCAAACUCCUACGGGAGGCAGCAGUAGGGAAUCUUCCACAAUGGACGCAAGUCUGAUGGAGCAACGCCGCGUGAGUGAAGAAGGCUUUCGGGUCGUAAAACUCUGUUGUUGGAGAAGAAUGGUCGGCAGAGUAACUGUUGUCGGCGUGACGGUAUCCAACCAGAAAGCCACGGCUAACUACGUGCCAGCAGCCGCGGUAAUACGUAAGUGGCAAGCGUUAUCCGGAAUUAUUGGGCGUAAAGCGAGCGCAGGCGGUUUUUUAAGUCUGAGUGGAAGCCCUCGGCUUAACCGAAGAAAGCCCAUCGGAAACUGGGAAACUUGAUUGCAAAAAAGGACGUGGAACUCCCGGUGUAGGGGUGAAAUGGU
rnacentral:rRNA from 2 species